rnacentral:rRNA from 1 species
UACAGAGGUGGCAAGCGUUGUUCGGAAUUACUGGGCGUAAAGGCGCGUAGGCGGCCUUCUAAGUCAGACGUGAAAUCCCCCGGCUUAACCUGGGAACUGCGUCUGAUACUGGAGGCUUGAGUAUGGGAGAGGGAUGUAGAAUUCCAGGUGGUAGCGGUGAAAUGCGUAGAUAUCUGGAGGAAUACCGGUGGCGAAGGCGGCAUCCUGGACCAUUACUGACGCUGAGGCGCGAAAGCUAGGGAGCAACG